rnacentral:rRNA from 1 species
GAUCAUGGCUCAGGAUGAACGCUAGCGGCAGGCCUAAUACAUAGCAAGUCGAGCGGCAAGUCGAGGAGUAAUCUAAGACCUAGAGCGGCGGCACGGGUGCGUAACGCGUAUGCAACUACCCUGUACUGGGGGAUAGCCCGGAGAAAUUCGGAUUAAGACCCCAUAGUACUUAAGAAUGGCAUCAUUCAUAAGUUAAAGGGUUACGGUACAGGAUGGGCAUGCGUCCCAUUAGCUAGAUGGUAAGGUAACGGCUUACCAUGGCAACGAUGGUAGGGGGCCUGAGAGGGUGGUCCCCCACACUGGUACUGAGACACGGCCCAGACUCCUACGGGAGGCAGCAGUGGGGAAUUUUGGACAAUGGGGCGCAAGCCUGAUCCAGCAAUGCCGCGUGCAGGAAGAAGGCCUUCGGGUUGUAAACUGCUUUUGUCAGGGAAGAAAUCUUCUGGGCUAAUACCCCGGGAGGAUGACGGUACCUGAAGAAUAAGCACCGGCUAACUACGUG